rnacentral:rRNA from 1 species
UACGUAGGGUGCAAGCGUUAAUCGGAAUUACUGGGCGUAAAGCGUGCGCAGGCGGUUGUGCAAGACAGAUGUGAAAUCCCCGGGCUUAACCUGGGAACUGCAUUUGUGACUGCACGGCUAGAGUACGGCAGAGGGGGAUGGAAUUCCGCGUGUAGCAGUGAAAUGCGUAGAUAUGCGGAGGAACACCGAUGGCGAAGGCAAUCCCCUGGACCUGUACUGACGCUCAUGCACGAAAGCGUGGGGAGCAAACAGG